UCUAACUCUGCCAUAAUGAAGUCCUGAUCCCUGACACCUAUGUCCAUUUCUUAAUUGCUCAGUUGAGUCUGACUCUUUGUGACCUUAUGGGCUGUAGCCCUUUGGGCUCCUCUGUCUAUGGAAUUCUCCAGGAGGAAUGCCACUUUCCCUGACUUCAAGAUUCACUGUACUAUGGGCAGCUCCCUAGCAUGGGGCAGUAGGAAGCUUAUCCUGCCUAGUGACGAAGCAAUAGAAGUUUCAGGCUUCCUAAUCUGCCACCCUGAAGAGGAAUUUACAGCAGAUCGGAGGACAAUUUAAGUCAACUGUUUCACAGUGAGAGGACAACCCCCCUAAGUUGUUGGCUUCAGCUACUGGCUCUCAAGUUUUCACAGUCCCACGUUUUCUAACAUAGAGAAUACAUUUUAUUCUUCAUUGGGA